rnacentral:guide_RNA from 1 species
AAAAUUAACAGAUAGAUCAUUAACGAGUAGAUAAAGUGA